UCCCCUUCGGGGGGACGAGGGUGACAGGUGGUGCAUGGUUGUCGUCAGCUCGUGUCGUGAGAUGUUGGGUUAAGUCCCGCAACGAGCGCAACCCUCGACCUUAGUUGCCAGCAUUCAGUUGGGCACUCUAAGGUGACUGCCGGCUAAAAGUCGGAGGAAGGUGGGGAUGACGUCAAAUCAUCAUGCCCCUUAUGACCUGGGCUACACACGUGCUACAAUGGGCGGUACAAAGGGUCGCGAACCCGCGAGGGGGAGCCAAUCCCAAAAAGCCGCUCUCAGUUCGGAUUGCAGGCUGCAACUCGCCUGCAUGAAGCCGGAAUCGCUAGUAAUCGCGGAUCCAGCAUGCCGCGGUGAAUACGUUCCCGGGCCUU
rnacentral:rRNA from 1 species